UCCUUCGUAGUGUAGUGGUCAGCACGCUCGGCGCGUUUUUCGAGAGGUCCGUGGUUAGAGUCCCGGCGAGGGCA
rfam:Stegodyphus mimosarum contig95280, whole genome shotgun sequence.